rnacentral:lncRNA from 1 species
CAUUAAAAUAUUCGUUAUGCCUUUAAUAAAAAGAAAGCACUAUUCUAUCUUAAAGCUUAAACAUAUUUUUAAUAAAAAUUAUUCCAAUUCCGAGUUGGUGGAAAUUAAAUUUUUCCAUCUCUUUUUUUUGAAAAUUAUAAGUAUUUCUUCAUUUUCUCUUCGGCCAUAUUUUCCUCCUCUUCCGGCAAACCAAAGGAGCCGGUAUUUACUUUA